rnacentral:lncRNA from 1 species
GGUGGAUAAAGUGUUUGUCUUCACUUAAAUAAAUCGGGCAGUAGCACCUGCUAGUGAUGAGCCUCUUCUGAAGAAUGUUUCUUUUACAAGUGUCAUCCUAAUAGUCAGCUAAACGUUAGUCUCUAGCUUUAAGAAGAGCGUGCUGUUUGUUACUGACAUCAUUCUAGUAACAAAAAUUGUAACUGUGGGUGUGAGUUAGAGAUAGUUUUUAGCUGUAUAAAUGCCACAGAUGAAUUUACUGGCUAGUCCAUGUGUAAAAACAUAUAUGUUUCAAUCAACUUAAUUAACUUAAAUCACUGACUGUAACAACCCCCUCUUCCAGGAGAGGUUCUCUUCCAGAACCAAGUGCUGCAAGUCCUACAGCCAUAUGCUAUGGCCUCUGUGCAUAGGAGAACCCAUGUUAAGGGCCCCAGUAUUGCAUAUAAAUCCUUUACAUUUAUGCAGUGUUUUAAAAUGUAAUUUUCUGCUUCUCUGAGGAGAUUUACUGAAACCUAUGAUUUCUACUUAAGCUUAUGAGAGCUCUUUGAAUAAAAUCACUUCCAUUAGUAAAUUCCUCUGAUGCAGUUGUGGAUCUUUAAUGUGAUGUGGUCACUGGACCUUGUUACUGUUCCUGAUCUGGGAGCUCUACUGGGAAGUACCUGCCCUGGCACCAA